CUUCAGCGAACCAAGCCACAAAGGACGCCCCGCGUCCCGCUGCCCAUACGUCGCCAACAACGCCUGCGCCUC
rfam:Streptomyces sp. Mg1, complete genome.